AGUGAACGCUGGCGGCAGGCCUAACACAUGCAAGUCGAACGGCAGCACAGUAAGAGCUUGCUCUUACGGGUGGCGAGUGGCGGAUGGGUGCGGAAUACAUCGGAAUCUACUUUUUCGUGGGUGAUAACGUAGGCAAACUUACGCUAAUACCCCUUACGACCUACGGUUGAAAGCAGGGGACCUUCCGACCUUGCGCGACUCUAUGAGCCGUUGUCGGUUUAGCUCGUUGGCGGGGUAAAGGCCCACCAUGGCGUCGAUCGGUAGCAGGCCUAGUAGGAAGAUCAGCACCAGGGGACUCAGGAGCCGGCCCGGACCCCUACGGGGGGCACGAGGGGGGAAUAUUGGAAAUUGGGCGCAAGCCUGAUCCAGCCAUACCGCGUAGGUGAAGAAGACUUUCGAGUUGUAAAGCCCUUUUGUUGGGAAAGAAAAGCAGAAGGUUAAACCCCCCCUGUUCUGACGGUACCCAAAGAAGAACCACCGGCUAACUUCGU
rnacentral:rRNA from 1 species